AUUGAACGCUGGCGGCAUGCCUUACACAUGCAAGUCGAACGGUAACGCGGGGAAACCUGGCGACGAGUGGCGAACGGGUGAGUAAUGCAUCGGAACGUGCCCAGUAGUGGGGGAUAGCCCGGCGAAAGCCGGAUUAAUACCGCAUACGACCUACGGGUGAAAGGGGGGGAUCGCAAGACCUCGCGCUAUUGGAGCGGCCGAUGUCAGAUUAGGUAGUUGGUGGGGUAAAGGCCUACCAAGCCUACGAUCUGUAGCUGGUCUGAGAGGACGACCAGCCACACUGGGACUGAGACACGGCCCAGACUCCUGCGGGAGGCAGCAGUGGGGAAUUUUGGACAAUGGGCGCAAGCCUGAUCCAGCCAUGCCGCGUGCGGGAAGAAGGCCUUCGGGUUGUAAACCGCUUUUGUCGGGGAAGAAAUCUUCUGGGCUAAUACCUCGGGAGGAUGACGGUACCCGAAGAAUAAGCACCGGCUAACUACGUGCCAGCCGCCGCCGUAA
rnacentral:rRNA from 1 species